CCCUGACCAGUGAAUCCGCACCCGAGCUAAAACAUGUUAAUAUUCUACCAGGUUGCAGCUAUUCUCCGAUCUGUCGCGGAGUUCCAAGUUUGUGGCUGGUUAGUCCCAGUCUCACAAAAUGGGGUUCCUGAGGCUCUGAGGAGAACAGUACCCCCAUACGUUAAAUAUCCAAAUUUCCUCACUGUCGAAAUAGUGCCUUGAUCGGUGGUCAUGG